ACGGUGUGGAAACUGCGACACUCACGC
rnacentral:piRNA from 1 species